AACUACACUGAGAAAAAAUAUAUGGUAAACGAAACUACUCAACCAUGUUUAAUUUUACUAUUCCCCAAAAUAGUAACAAUGACCAAAUAAUCUUUGUUUAUGACCAUGUUUUCAAUAAAGUUACUAUGCUCCGAAAGCAAGCCGCAUGGUAAUAGAUACUAUUAAGUAUAGUCAAUUUAAUUACGCAAUUUGUGUUUCUGGUAACUAUUUUCAUGUUUAUAAGCAGCACGUUCAAUGUUUAGUUGAAACAAGCGUUUUUUUUUAAUAUUUCUGCAAACCAGCAUUAGGCUUGGAAUUUCCAAACAAGAAUAUUUGAUCAUCAGUCGCCUUAUUUAAUUAUUUUAAUUUUUCAAACUUAGUCGUUCAGUCAAUCGGAGGAAUCAUGCAGAUGCAGAACCAAGUGCAGGACUUGCUCUUCAACUAUUUUGGAAGAGUAACCCCAUCGCCACCAACGACACCGAUGUCCGGUGAAUUCAAGUCGGAAAGAGAGCUGAAACCCACUUCAAUAAGGAACAAAUGAGUGCCAAAAGAAAAUGCACAUGAAGUAGGAGAAGGAAGUGGAAAGUUGGAAACGAUGUUAUUCCAUGAGCAGCCGGGAGUUCCACUACCUCCUCCGGUAUCAGCAUAUCGUCCUUGCAGAAGUCAGAAAACCACUUUCGAUUUCGAUGGAGCCACCUCAAAAACCCCUUCAGCGGUACCGGAUGUGACGUCGCCAAAUCGGAAAAGUCGAACCUUUUGCCACGCAACACGACUAUGGAAGUGCAACCCUGCAAUAACUGUUCCGGUCCCAAGAACUGUUUUCCGGCACUUCUUAAAUUCCAGCUUGAUACCAGCCGCCUAGAUACCCGGAUUAAGUCAUCGAUUUCCAACGGAUAUCACCCAGAAACUCAAAGUAAUUUAUUUAUUUUUUGUAUUUUUUUUGUUUAUUGUGAUUUAUGCACUUACAAUAUUUGAAAUAAAUACACAAAUAAGUUAA